rnacentral:rRNA from 1 species
UACGAAGGGUGCAAGCGUUACUACGGAAUUACUGGGCGUAAAGCUGUGCGUAGGUGGUUUGUUAAGUCCUGUUGUGAAAGCCCCGGGCUCAACCUGGGAAUGGCAAUGGAGUACUGGCAGGCUAGAGUGCGGUAGAGGUAGUGGAAUUCCCGGUGUAAGCGGUGAAAUGCGUAGAGAUCGGGAGGAACACCAGGUGGCGAAGGCGGCUACCUGGACCAGCACUGACACUGGAGG